AUCAAUAACAUACUACAGUGUAUAAUUUACCAAUUUUACACUCGUAAUUUAUCUAAAAUAUUUUCAUUUUUAGUAAUUAUUUUACAUGAAUAAACUACUGAAAAAGCAUGCUUCGAUUUUAGCAAAACUCUUCAAGAGUGACAAAAAUAGACUUAGUGUGAUCAUGUGGUUCAUUGCAAACGAGUAACGAUAGGAUCACAAAGACACAGAAAAAAACAGAAUAGACUACACACUAUACACAAAUGACAAUAUAAUAGUGUGUCCUAUCGCCGUAAACUUAUCAAUUAUUGGAUCGCAUUGAGUACAGUACUUUGUGGAAAAUUUAAUGUCAGUCUAAGAAGACUAAAUACACUAGGAUGUCGCUUUUUUGGUUGGGGCAGAGGAUGGGCCAUUUUUUAAAGUGAUUUUUAGUUUGUAAAAUGUGUAUUUUACAUUUUUACUACUACAAAAGGUGAUGACAGACACAAAAAACCAUAAAUCAGUAACUAUAUCGCUCCUUUCAGAAUUUAAAAGAGAACAAUUCAAUGCGAUGAAAAUAGAAAGAGUGGUACGUAGUUUGUGAGACAGUUUUAGUAAAAAUAUUCU